GUAGAUGAUAGAGAAUUUUUAGUAUUCCAUGUGGCAUGCUCUGAGCAGUUCCUUUCUCUAGGUCAAGGAAUUGUUGGGAAAGCUUUUGUGACAAACAAACAGUGUUUUGCAAGUGAUAUAACUGCCUUUUCCAAGACAGAUUAUCCUCUAUCUCACCAUGCUAAGGUGCUUGGUUUGGAUGCUGCUGUUGCAAAAUUCCUUUGCGAAGCACCAAUGAUGGAUCAACUGAUUUUGUAUUGGAGCUAUUCUUGCCAAAAGACUGCCGAGAUACUGAAGAACAAAAGCGGA
rnacentral:misc_RNA from 1 species